AACGAACGCUGGCGGCAGGCCUAACACAUGCAAGUCGAGCGCGCCCUUCGGGGUGAGCGGCGGACGGGUGGGUAACGCGUGGGAACGUGCCAUUUUCUACGGAAUAGCCUCGGGAAACUGAGAGUAAUACCGUAUACGCCCUUUGGGGGAAAGAUUUAUCGGAAAAGGAUCGGCCCGCGUUGGAUUAGGUAGUUGGUGGGGUAAUGGCCUACCAAGCCGACGAUCCAUAGCUGGCUUGAGAGGAUGAUCGGCCACACUGGGACUGAGACACGGCCCAGACUCCUACGGGAGGCAGCAGUGGGGAAUCUUAGACAAUGGGGGCAACCCUGAUCUAGCCAUGCCGCGUGAGUGAUGAAGGCCUUAGGGUUGUAAAGCUCUUUCAGCUGGGAAGAUAAUGACGGUACCAGCAGAAGAAGCCCCGGCUAACUCCGUG
rnacentral:rRNA from 1 species